ensembl:lncRNA
AUGGCCUUACAUUUCCUUACGUAUGUGCUCAUCUCCUGUAGUUAAUCUAAAAAUGGGAGGAUGUCAGUUGCCUGGGCGCCUUAUCAGGCCAUUACUCUGGGUCCAGGUGUGGUUUCUCUACAUUCCACUAUUAAUGUUUAUGCCUGAUGUAUAUAGGCCUGAUUAUACUCAUAGUUAAUAUAAAUAUAUUAACUAUGAGUUAAUUCCCUCGUUACGCCAGGAACACUCAAGCUCCUCCUGCAGGCCAAAGGGAACAGUACCAUACAUAAACAAUAUACAACCAUAUUCCUAUACCCUACAGGCAGAGGGAGAAAUAGGCCUAGCGCUCAAGGCACAGAGCGGGGCGUCACAAUGUUUGAGUCUAUCCAUGGUCGGGUACAUAAGUCAGUGUUAGGUAAGUGCUGAAUGUAUACUAUUGUGUUAUUUCUGGAAGAAAGUGGUCCAAUCCUUGGUCGCUUUUAACUCUAUUGCAGCAUUCUUGAAGAAAGUUGUCCAAUCGUUGGUCCCUUUAAACUCACUUUAUUUGUUAAAGUAGGCAUGUUUCGGUAUGGUAACUAUGAAGCUUAAGGGAGGGAAUUGUAAUUCUAACGCGUGUGAGAGAAAUACUGUGAGCUACUUUGAGCCACGGGCAAAAGCCCAUGGCCAUUUCUGAAAUGGCAUACUACAUACUGCUCGUAUACUGAUCGUGACGUAAAAGUAUAUACAUCCAGAGCUCACUACGUCGGAUACUGUAUCCCAUAAUGCAACGCGGCACCGUUGGAAAAAAAACGUUAAACAUUUCGAAUAAUGGCGGCGGAAAAUGCGAGCGAUGAAUAUAAAUGGACUGAUGUAGACACCGCAGCUCUCAUCAGUUGGAGAUCUACGAAUGAGGGCAUGUUCACGGGCAGGAGGAAUGCGGCGCAGAAGGGGUUCGAGUAAGUUGGUUUAGU